CGGGCAUAUUUUUCAAGCUCGCCCGGUGUGGAUAUGCACUCAGAGUAACAUCACAAACAUAUUAUUCACCUGAGUACACAACACCAGCACAGAAAAAAAAUUCAUAUUACAAGAACACAUUGGUAUUGAAGGAACUAGAUACUGUUCCGAAAUAUCACUUACUCGAACCGUCCUGACCGCGUAGCUCAGUUGGAAGAGCAUUGGGCUAGUAUUCCAAAGGUCGUAGGUUCGUAUCCCACCGUGGCCGGGCAUAUUUUUCAAGCUCGCCCGGUGUGGAUAUGCACUCAGAGUAACAUCACAAACAUAUUAUUCACCUGAGUACACAAC